rnacentral:rRNA from 1 species
AAUGCGUAGAUAUCAGGAGGAACACCGGUGGUGUAAACGGCUUUCUGGACCAUAACUGACGCUGAGGCACGAAAGCGUGGGUAGCAAACAGGAUUAGAUACCCUGGUAGUCCACGCCCUAAACGAUGCAUAUUUGGUGUGGGCCAUUCAUUUGGUCUGUGCCGGAGCUAACGCGUUAAAUAUGCCGCCUGGGGAGUACAGUCGCAAGGCUGAAACUCAAAGGAAUUGACGGGGGCCCGCACAAGCGGUGGAGCAUGUGGUUUAAUUCGACGCAACGCGAAGAACCUUACCUGGGCUCGAAACGCUAUGGACCAGCUGGUGAAAGCCGGCCUUCCCGCAAGGGACCGUAGUAUAGGUGCUGCAUGGCUGUCGUCAGCUCGUGUCGUGAGAUGUUGGGUUAAGUCCCGCAACGAGCGCAACCCUUGUCCUGUGUUGCCAUCAUUCAGUUGGGAACUCGCAGGAGACCGCCAGGGAUAACCUGGAGGAAGGUGGGGAUGACGUCAAGUCCUCAUGGCCUUUAUGUCCAGGGCUACACACGUGCUACAAUGGACGGUACAAAGGGCUGCCAACCCGCAAGGGGGAGCCAAUCCCAAAAAACCGUUCUCAGUUCGGAUUGCAGGCUGCAACUCGCCUGCAUGAAGCUGGAAUAGCUAGUAAUGGCAGAUCAGAACGCUGCCGUGAAUACGUUCCCGGGCCUUGUACACACCGCCCGUCACAUCACGAAAGUGGGUUGUACUAGAAGUCCGCACGCCGACCGCAAGGGGGCAGCGGCCCAAG